GUCAUAAGCAUGUUAUAUUGAAAUUGAAUCAUGUAUUCACAAACAAGUUCUCCUUUCCCUCUGAGAUUAUGUAACAGAGUUCCCCUGUUUGUUCAUGGAACAGCCCAGGGUCCAGUGGGGUGUUUGUUUUAGGGCUAAUUUGCAUAAACUUGGCUUGUAGAGCAUCUCAUGGGAUGCAUGCAACAUCCUACAGUGCAGACCGAAUUACACAGGAAAGGAGUUAGCAACUCAAUUUAGAAUUGUGUGAAAGUUUGGAGGAUCUUUCAUUGUAAUCAUCUAUUAGAACCGGGAUAUUUAACAGUUGUAAACCACACUAUCAGUACGAUCGACGACACUAUUGCCACGACACUAUCCACUAUCGCGACUAUACUAUCGACAUCACUACCACUACACGUUUCUACGUUUGUUCUGGAUUUAUUGAGACUGUCGUCGAUGUUUAGACUUGAAUAAAGGCACGAGCUAGUUUAUACUGCA
rnacentral:lncRNA from 1 species